GACGAACGCUGGCGGCGUGCUUAACACAUGCAAGUCGAACGGAAAGGCCCUGCUUUUGUGGGGUGCUCGAGUGGCGAACGGGUGAGUAACACGUGAGUAACCUGCCCUUGACUUUGGGAUAACUUCAGGAAACUGGGGCUAAUACCGGAUAGGCGCUCCUGCUGCAUGGUGGGGGUUGGAAAGUUUCGGCGGUUGGGGAUGGACUCUGCGCUUUUCAGUUUGUUUGUGGGGUAGUGGUAUACCAAGGCUUUGACGGGGAGCCGGCCUGAGAGGGUGACCGAGCACAUUGGGACUGAGAUACGGCCCAGACUCCUACGGGAGGCAGCAGUGGGGAAUAAUGCACAAUGGGCGGAAGCCUGAUGCAGCAACGCCGCGUGCGGGAUGACGGCCUUCGGGUUGUAAACCGCUUUCGCCUGUGACGAAGCGUGAGUGACGGUAAUGGGUAAAGAAGCACCGGCUAACUACGUG
rnacentral:rRNA from 1 species